ensembl:lncRNA
GUAAAGGCAUAUUUAUUAUUGGUGUAAAAGAGGAGGAACUGCUGCUGCUCUGAACAGCCUGGGGUUGUCCUUCAGCAUCUGGCACGUGUGGGGGCACAACCGGAGCCAGCGAUGCUGCUGAGCACCCCAAUGCAUCCCAUGGCUCCUGGGGACCAAACAGGACUUUGUGAGCAUCCCCUGCGGGUUUCACUCCAGCAUCCUCCUUGCCACAGGAGAACAGCACUAGGAGGCUGUUUUGCAGGCACGUGGAGCCGCGUUGAUUUAUUUAGCAGCGUCUCUGGAGGCUUCUUCAAGGUUAAGAUGUAGACAUCGCAUGUUAGGCUGGGCUGAAUGCUGGCAGGAAAAGACAUUUGGCUCUUCUAAUUGGAAAAACACGCCGCUUUUAUCACCCCGAGGCCAAGCCUCUACCACAGCCACACAGCACAGGGGAACACAGCGGCUCAGCCCUGGGUCCCCAGAAAGGAGCACCGUCCCCUCACUGCCCUCCAGGUCAGCCCCGGUGGUGCACCCAUCCCUGCUGAGUGCUCAGCACCGGUCACGGAGCUGUCAGCCACGCUGUGCCUCAGUUUCCCCACUGCUGCUGGCUGCCAUGGGCUGCGUGCUGAGUUUCGGCGCAGUGUGUCUAAGAAGCCCCUUCCCCAUCCAUCUCGGUGUUCCCACUGCACAACACGGAGCACACCCACUGAUGAAGGCACACAGCAUCCUCAUCUGGCCGGGCUGCCUCAGCCACGUCGGUACUCAGAGCUACAGAUACAGAGGAAAAAAAGCGAUUGCAAAGCAGAAAGGACCGUUUUGGGGGUACAUUUGGCAGUGAAAUCAGAGCUCGGGCUGGGAACCAGCAGGACAGCCUCCCUGCAGCCUCCCUGCGAUGCUCUCCAUGCACCGAACCCCGCACCACUCCUUCCUACACCAUCCCCCCGCUCACACCAAUGACUUUUAUUUUCGUACACGAAAAAGAAAACGCACAACGGAUUGGGAGCGUUAUUUUUCUGAACGCCACUUCGAAGAGUAAAAAUCUGAAAGCGUAAAUCCGGAGCAUCGUGGCAAAAUCCGGGCUCGGUUUAAAAACUAAAAGGGUUCUGCGAUUGUUUCUUUUCGUUUGUGAAAUAAUUCAACCCUCACCAAUAUUCCGGGCAGACGACCGCCGUUUAAUCUCAGCGGUCGCACAACGAACUGAGAUUCCGAGGGGGUGAGAGCGUUCGGCGCAACGUAACUAUCAAAUAUCCCCCGAAGACUUAAAGCAAACCACACGUGGCUGCUUCUCUCGCUGCCCCACUGCCCGCAGCCAUCGGUGCAGGACGGAGGACCGCAGCGCUUCGCAGUGCCAUUAAGCAUUCGUUAAAACAUUUACUCGAUGGGCCGUAACAAAGCGCCGGAGCCGCGGGCGCACGCAGAGACUCCAUCGGACGGUUCUGCGGUGCAAAACCGUCGCGUUCAGAGCCGCGCAGCCCUCAGUCCCCUCUCAUCGCACCUCUCUCGGGCAGAUGCUGGAGGUGGAAGGGCUGCAGCUUACCCCGCUUUCUGCCGUCGGUUCUGGGCGUUCCGAUUUCGGGUUCCCCUCUCGGCCCGGAGCGCAGUGCCCGGCCCGUGGCAUCAGAGCCUGAGGGAUGGAGGGGGAAAGCAACGUGAGCCAGAAGCUCGCAGCGAGGUCUGUAAGUCCUUGUAUGGCAG